rnacentral:rRNA from 1 species
CACUGACGUUCAUGCUNGAAAGCGUGGGUAGCAAACAGGAUUAGAUACCCUGGUAGUNCACGCCCUAAACGAUGUCGAUUAGCUGUUGGGCAACUUGAUUGCUUAGUAGCGUAGCUAACGCGUGAAAUCGACCGCCUGGGGAGUACGGUCGCAAGAUUAAAACUCAAAGGAAUUGACGGGGACCCGCACAAGCGGUGGAUGAUGUGGAUUAAUUCGAUGCAACGCGAAGAACCUNNCNUGGUCUUGACAUGUACGGAACCCUAUAGAGAUAGAGGGGUGCCUUCGGGAACCGUAACACAGGUGCUGCAUGGCUGUCGUCAGCUCGUGUCGUGAGAUGUUGGGUUAAGUCCCGCAACGAGCGCAACCCUUGUCNUUAGUUGCCAUCAUUUAGUUGGGCACUNUAAUGAGACUGCCGGUGACAAACCGGAGGAAGGUGGGGAUGACGUCAAGUCCUCAUGGCCCUUAUGACCAGGGCUUCACACGUCAUNCAAUGGUCGGUACAGAGGGUAGNCAAGCCGCGAGGUGGAGCCAAUCCCAGAAAACCGAUNGUAGUCCGGA